UACGUAGGAUGCAAGCGUUGUCCGGAAUCACUGGGCGUAAAGGGCGCGUAGGUGGUUUGAUAAGGGUGUGGUGAAAGCCCGGGGCUCAACCCCGGGUCUGCCGUGCCGACUGUCAAACUCGAGGGCUGUAGAGGCAGACGGAAUUCCGGGUGUAGCGGUGGAAUGCGUAGAGAUCCGGAGGAAGACCGGUGGCGAAGGCGGUCUGCUGGGCAGUUUCUGACACUGAUGCGCGACAGCGUGGGGAGCAAACAGG
rnacentral:rRNA from 1 species